CAUCUUUCACCCAGCCACCUCCACCUCAGCAGCUGUCACAUGCCUGUAGUCCAGCGUUUCCUCUCAAAGAGUGACCUGCUCAAUGAAACAAAGGCGGCAGAUUAGUGAUCAAGGAAUUGAGGCCUGUUCACUCCUAGAGUGAUAAUGAUAACUAGGGGUGGGUGAUAUCACCAAACUGUAUCACGAUAUCACCUACAUUAUAUAUCACAAUAUAAAUUUGUUUUCUUUAAAUAGGGUCUUUAUGAUAUUCGACAUGAAUAUCCGAUAUGAAUUCGGCAGGCAAAACACCAUCAUCACUAGGAAUCGGGAAAUUAGGGAGUGGAAUUCGUUUCCCCAAUGGACCCACCUCCGAUUCAUUCAAGUUCGUUAACUUGAACACGUGAAUUCACCGCAUUGAUCAUAAGCUGCCUGAUUCGGAUAGCAUGACUUCACGCAUCGCUACAUUAUUGAAAUGGAAUCCACGAGUUAUGUGACCGACUCGAGAACAAGUUCAGAUGGAAACUUCAUCCCCAAGAAGGAUAUCAACAGAUCAGCAUCCUCGCCACGGCUUCUAUGUUUCACUCUCUCGAACGUCUUCACAAGUUAAUGCUCUCAGGUUAUUAGCAACAUGCGUGUUGCUAUGGCUAUCCGCGUUGCUUAGGCUCAUUUAGUUGUUUAGUUGGCAAUGUGCGGUACUAUGUUACUGGCAUACACUUGUCGUUGCAAUAUGCUGCGCAUAAAGGGGGAUACAAUGCCCCUUUACAGCAGUUUCAGUGUUUAUGGAACUGCAUUUGUAAAAUUGGAUAUACAGUCACUUUACACAGAAAAGGAGCAUCUGGGACGUUCAGAUAAGAUGCUGUAUGUUCUGACUUGUUGUGUGGGACCUGCCAAUGAAUGAACCCUUGCGAAACAAGUGAACAGAAUAUCUUGGCACGCAGCUACCUAGCCUGCGAUAGCCCGCGACAGGAAGCUUUCCCAUCCAAUGCUCAUGAUUAAGCAGGGAGACUCAUGUUUUGGGUGAUGAUACACCAUCCUCCACUGCUGCCUGGUGAGAGCUCUUGGCAAACGCGCCCCACCCCGUCCCACGCAUCUCAUGCUCUCUUCUGGUGCCACCCACCCAUCGUCUAUGGGGUCCGGUCUGUAUCCUGCAGCUCUACGUCUCUAGGACUUCUGCUCCCUCUACCCCUCAGAUUGAUGCAUCAUGCCCACGAGUGGAUUUGUCAAAGAAAUGCCAGCGGCAGUUUGUCUGUCACCAUCAGAUUGAUCUGUUCAUUUUUCCCAUCACUAAUGCACUACAAGUAGUGCCUUAACACAGUG